ensembl:lncRNA
UUUAUCGGUGUGAGCCAGGCGUGGGGCGAGUGGGUGCCCGGGGACACUGAGAGAGCCACGUCAGCGUGUUUAGCAGUCGCCAGAGCCUCACCUAGUGCCACCUGUGAGGUCACUGCCCUGCUCACCCAUGGCCACUCUGCGUGUCCACAGCAGCAGCAACCACCCGUGGCUCUCAGCAGGAGAACACACGCUCCGGUGCACCCCAAAGGGGCAGCUUCCACCCUGGAGCAGCAGGAGUGGUUCCUGAGGGGCUUCUCGUCAUGAAGGCUCUGCCUGGCCGAGGCCGAGGCACCCGGCGUGGACAGGCGGCCUCAGUGUGGUGACACCAGGGUUUCUUCUCAACACAGCUCUCUGAGAAAGGGAUCCUGACCUGGCCGUGUGCAACAGCAGCACUCCAUGGGACCGGCCCUGGGCGGGGGAGAGCAGAGAGUUGUGAACCGCAGAAGGGAGGUGACGCCCCUCGCAGCUGCCCACGCUUUUCCAGCCCCAGGACAGCACACUGCCACUCCUACCUGUGAGCAGGGUGCAGCUGUGGACUCCUUGCCGGGGCCUUUAGGAAAGGAAAUGUGAAAUAACUGGGGCUGUGAGUCCCUGCCCCGUUCCUCACCCUAACCUGGGAGGCAGCGAUGAUGCUAACUCUGCACAGACACCAGGCCUGCGCGCUCACACGAUGGGAUCUGACCACGUUACCCAGGCUGGUUUUGAAUUCCUGGCUUCCUGAGUAGCUGGGACCACAGGCACACACUGCCAUGCCUGGCUACUAUGCUGUCCGAUCCCCAGGAUGUGAGCAUCUGAGAAUCUUGGUGUCUGCAGGGGCCCUGGAGCUCCUCCAAAUACCAAGGUGACUGUGUAGGUGAAGAGGGAGAGAAAACACACAUGGUGUGUAAGUAAAGGGUAGUAUAGUAAAACAGAUACAGACAUUCUUCAUACUAUUUUUAGUUUUGCAAUUUUUUUUAACUAUUCAAAAUUUUUUUUGAAAUAAAAACAUUGAUAAAGGGUGUGUGGUUUAUUCAAGGACACAGAGCAAAGGGGCAGUUGGAUGAGUGGUUUCCUUGUCCAAGAACAUCCCGGCCACUUCUUAUAGUCUCUGGAUUUAUAUAUUUUAGACUCAGUGUCAAUGCCAGCUUCUCUGGCUUCCUAGUUCUGUGUGUCCAGAUUUCAUGUACUUGUCUUUCCCCUUAUUGUGGCAGAUCGAAGUGAAUUCUUUUUUUGGUUGUUGAGCUUUGCUUUUUUGAGGCAGGGUCUUGAUAUCUAGUGUAGGCUGAUCUUGGACACGUGGCCAUCCUUCUGCCUCAGCCUCCUGAGUACUGUGAUCUCAGGUGUGCACCCCUACACCCUGUUAAAAGUGAAUUGUUUUUUCUUUUUGGUACCAGGGAUCGAACUUGGGACCUUGCGCUUGCAAGGUAGGCAGCGGAACCACCGAGCUAAAUCCCUGGCCCUGAAGUGAAUUCUUUGACAUUUCAUUUCUUUUGCUUUUGCUGCCUGUCAGUUCUGUGUGGAUAGGGCCUUGUGUGUCUUGUUCCUGGCUGAACCCCAAGGGCAGAGCCCAGUGGCUGUAUUACCGUAGGUGCCCAAGAAAUAUUUACUGGAAGAGUUAAUGAGUAAGUGAAGGAGAGAGACGCAUGGCCUCUGCCAGGCCACCCUCUUUGCUGUUGUGGAGCAGCCAUGACACAGAGGUGACCUGUAUUUCACCUGUGUGGCCAUGGGGAGCAGGGGCCGGGGCGCUCCAGUCCAGGGCCGCCCAGGCCCUGUGACCAAAGUGUGCCCAGGACCCCGGGCAUGUUUAUGUUAAUUCUGAAUACCAAAUGCAUCCAUUUACCCAAAAUCCCCAAAGCGGAAACACACAGAGUAGGGCAUGGGCCCCUUCCACCCUGCCCUCUCUGCUCCCAGCUGCUCUUACUGGUGUUCAUUUUCUGAAGGGCCCUCCGAUGUAUAUUGUUUAUUUACUUAUUUAUUUUGUUUCUUGACACAGCGUCUCAAUGUAUCAUUCAGGCUGUUCUUGAACUCAUGAGAUAAUCCAGGCUGGGCUUGAACUUGCAGUGAUCCUCCUGCCUCAGCCUCCGAGCACUGUGAUUCCAGGUGUGCACCACCGUGGGUAGUUUAGGCGUGCACAACCAAAUCUGUGUGAGCGUGGAUGUCCCUGCACUCUGGUUGUACUUUGCCUUGCUCAUGUAAUGACAGGUCACGGCCCGAUUUGUUUCAUAAGAGUUCCUGAAAGUCUGUCUUUGGUUUCGUUGGGAUUGGUUUCCUUGGGGCUGCUGCGCAUAUAUGGGUGUCGGUGGGUAAGUGGAAAUGCCUACAGGUCUACGAUCGAAGGAGCCAGCUCCAAACCUUCCCUGCUGUGCUGGGAGCCUCCUGCUGCCACGGGGAGUGAAGAGCACUGAGGAAUGACAGAGCAAGAGGCAGGGACCUCAGAGCACCCAAGUCCGGCAUGGUGAUCACCAGCUGCCAAAUCCAACGUGGCUACGAAGGCAAAGUACUCUGCAGCUGACUCAACUGGAAGGCACAGGGAGGGUAAGAUGUCAACUGCAGUUUGAAGAUUUAAUUUAAAAACGUAAAAACAUCUUAUAAAUUAAUAAUUUUUUUAUGUUUGUUACAAAUUGAAACUAUCAUAUUUUAAAUGUAUUGGUUAAGUAAAUAUAUCAUUGAAAUAAAAGUUCGCCUGCUUCUUAAUUUUUUGAAAUGUGGUUACUGGAAACUUUAAAAUUCUAGAUGUGGGUUGCAUAUGUGGGUGACAUAUGCAGCAAAAUCAAAACAUAUGGUGAAAGUUUAAAUUUUUAAAAAUUGUUACCAUAAAAAACACACUGCCAUGAAUUCCCUUCAAAAUCCUCCCCCUUGUUUUGAAUAAUACACUUAUCCCAUCAUCCUUGCCACUUUCUGAAGCAGUUCUGGAAGUCCUCUUUCCUAAGGGUCUUUUUGAGGUGUGAUCAAAUAUACGAUGAAUGCUGCUCGCGUGAGCGUCAUGCAACAGAAAGGCCGCUGGUAAAAGCAUUUAGUGUUUCCUCAUCCAUCUUAUUCACCAGGCCUGGCACUGUGCAACUUCCGGCUUUUCCCCAAAGUCAAAAUGACCACAAAAGACAGGUGUUCUAAAUUCAUUUAGACACGGAAGCAGUCACGACAGCUGCUAAAGACCCUCAGGAAGGAGGACUUUCAGAACUGCUCCAGAAAGCAAUUUGAUGGGAUAAGUGCGUUGGAAGUGAGGGGGAGUAUUUUGAGAGGGCAAUGUGUCUUUUAACAUAAACUUUAAAAAAAAUUAUAUAUUCGUUGUAUUUUCGAUCACACCUCGUAUUUCCACUGGACCAGGCUUCGCUAGAGACUCAGAGCCCAGGGAGAAAUGGAGCAGGGAGGAAGGGCUAAAUACAGCAGGAGUGGAGACAAAGGAAUAGGAAAGUGGGGAUCACAGAAGCCUGGGGUCCCCUUGCCUGAGUCAGGAGUCCUGGGUCUCCACCUGACAAGCAGGACCAUCCCAGGAGCAGCCUCCUUCCUGCUCAGCCUCCCACGGUC